rnacentral:rRNA from 1 species
GUCUACGACCAUGCCACCCUGAACAAGCCCAAUGCCUUCUGAUUUCAGAAGCUAAGCAGGGACGGGCCUGGUUAGUACUUGAAUGGGAGACCACCUAGGAAAACCAGGUACUAUAGGCA